rnacentral:rRNA from 1 species
UACGGAGGGAGCUAGCGUUGUUCGGAAUUACUGGGCGUAAAGGGCGCGUAGGCGGCCUACUAAGUCGGACGUGAAAUCCCUCGGCUCAACCGGGGAACUGCGUCCGAUACUGGUGGGCUCGAAUCCGGGAGAGGGAUGUGGAAUUCCAGGUGUAGCGGUGAAAUGCGUAGAUAUCUGGAGGAACACCGGUGGCGAAGGCGGCAUCCUGGACCGGUAUUGACGCUGAUGCGCGAAAGCUAGGGGAGCAAACAGG